rnacentral:rRNA from 1 species
AGAGUUUGAUCCUGGCUCAGGAUGAACGCCAGCGGGAUGCUUACCAUGCAGUCGAACGGAAUCUUCGGAUUUAGUGGCGGACGGGUGAGUAACGCGUGAGAAUCUAGCUCUAGGUCGGGGACAACCACUGGAAACGGUGGCUAAUACCGGAUGUGCCGAAAGGUGAAAGAUUAAUUGCCUAGAGAUGAGCUCGCGUCUGAUUAGCUAGUUGGUGUGGUAAGAGCGCACCAAGGCGACGANCAGNAGCNGGNCNGAGAGGANGANCAGCCACACNGGGACNGAGACACGGCCCAGACNCCNACGGGAGGCAGCAGUGGGGAAUUUUCCGCAAUGGGCGAAAGCCUGACGGAGCAAUACCGCGUGAGGGAGGAGGCUCUUGGGUUGUAAACCUCUUUUCUCAGGGAAUAAGAAAGUGAAGGUACCUGAGGAAUAAGCAUCGGCUAACUCCGUGCCAGCAGCCGCGGUAAUACGGAGGAUGCAAGCGUUAUCCGGAAUGAUUGGGCGUAAAGCGUCCGCAGGUGGCACUGUAAGUCUGCUGUUAAAGAGCAAGGCUCAACCUUGUAAAGGCAGUGGAAACUACAGAGCUAGAGUACGUUCGGGGCAGAGGGAAUUCCUGGUGUAGCGGUGAAAUGCGUAGAGAUCAGGAAGAACACCGGUGGCGAAAGCGCUCUGCUAGGCCGUAACUGACACUGAGACGAAAGCUAGGGGAGCGAAUGGGAUUAGAUACCCCAGUAGUCCUAGCCGUAAACGAUGGAUACUAGGCGUGGCUUGUAUCGACCCGAGCCGUGCCGGAGCCAACGCGUUAAGUAUCCCGCCUGGGGAGUACGCACGCAAGUGUGAAACUCAAAGGAAUUGACGGGGGCCCGCACAAGCGGUGGAGUAUGUGGUUUAAUUCGAUGCAACGCGAAGAACCUUACCAAGACUUGACAUGUCGCGAAUCUUCUUGAAAGGGAAGAGUGCCUUAGGGAGCGCGAACACAGGUGGUGCAUGGCUGUCGUCAGCUCGUGUCGUGAGAUGUUGGGUUAAGUCCCGCAACGAGCGCAACCCUCGUUUUUAGUUGCCAGCAUUAAGUUGGGCACUCUAGAGAGACUGCCGGUGACAAACCGGAGGAAGGUGGGGAUGACGUCAAGUCAGCAUGCCCCUUACGUCUUGGGCUACACACGUACUACAAUGCUACGGACAGAGGGCAGCAAGCUAGCGAUAGCAAGCAAAUCCCGUAAACCGUAGCUCAGUUCAGAUCGCAGGCUGCAACUCGCCUGCCUGAAGGAGGAAUCGCUAGUAAUUGCAGGUCAGCAUACUGCAGUGAAUUCGUUCCCGGGCCUUGUACACACCGCCCGUCACACCAUGGAAGCUGGCAACCCCCGAAGUCAUUACUCCAACCAUUCGGGGGGGAGGAUGCCUAAAGCAGUGC